rnacentral:rRNA from 1 species
AGUGAACGCUGGCCGUAGGCCUAACACAUGCAAGUCGAACGGCAGCACAGUAAGAGCUUGCUCUUACGGGUGGCGAGUGGCGGACGGGUGAGGAAUACAUCGAAAUCUACUUUUUCGUGGGGGAUAACGUAGGGAAACUUACGCUAAUACCGCAUACGACCUACGGGUGAAAGCAGGGGAUCUUCGGACCUUGCGCGAUUGAAUGAGCCGAUGUCGGAUUAGCUAGUUGGCGGGGUAAAGGCCCACCAAGGCGACGAUCCGUAGCUGGUCUGAGAGGAUGAUCAGCCACACUGGAACUGAGACACGGUCCAGACUCCUACGGGAGGCAGCAGUGGGGAAUAUUGGACAAUGGGCGCAAGCCUGAUCCAGCCAUACCGCGUGGGUGAAGAAGGCCUUCGGGUUGUAAAGCCCUUUUGUUGGGAAAGAAAGGCAGCAGGUUAAUACCCCGCUGUUCUGACGGUACCCAAAGAAUAAGCACCGGCUAACUUCGUG